AUGGAAUGGAGAACAGGUGAGUUUAAUAGUCGUUUGAGAUUUAAGCACACUAAAUCAGGAGUGCAAACUAAAAACAUGCAUAGAUAGUUGAUGCAAAAUAUUUUGCCCAUCAAUCUUUUGCUGUAUAUAACAUUUCUUUACAAGCUAUUUGGAGGAAUGCUAUCUCACUAGAUAGUAAUGCUGUUUCUUACCAUCUAAUGCCAGAACCCUAGCAUGACAGCAAUGGUAAAUAAUAACAUAAGAGCCACAUUUCCACCAGGCAGUAAAUCUUCCUUGGACUCCGGCAAUCUG
rnacentral:lncRNA from 1 species